UUUUCUUUUUCUUAUUCUCUCUAGUAUUGACAAAAUCUCUAAGAUAACCUCUCCAGUAUUAAUAAUUCAUGGGACUGAAGAUGAAGUCAUUGACUUUUCCCAUGGCCUCGCAUUGUUUGAGCGUUGCCAAAGACCUGUGGAGCCUCUGUGGGUUGAAGGGGCAGGACACAAUGAUGUGGAGCUGUAUGGACAAUACCUUGAGAGGUUAAAACAGUUUGUGUCACAGGAACUGGUAAAUUUGUAAACUACUCUGUAAAUUUGCAUACUGGGUUUUCUUUUCUUGCUGAACUGCACUCCUUGGUAAAUAACAUAAAACCUGAAGGUUUUGUUUACAAAUCAUGUAAGUUGCCUUCAUAACUGUACAGGUAAUGAUUUGUUAACAGACUUAAUGAAGGUUUUAAUUACCAUAACUUGAAACUGGAAAUAGCAGUAUCAUGCAGUCAGGCUGUGUAAUUUAUAUUUUUUCUGUGAAUUUUUUUUAAACAUCAAGAUGAGUACUGUAUGAAAUUUUAAUUCUAUAAAAUCAAAUGCUGUAAAAGUAUUGUCAAAUGCUUUUGCAAAUCAAAAGCAAAUUUAUAAAUAUUUUUAAACAUCUCAAUGUACUAAAUAUCCUGAUAUAAAUGUAAUAUUCUUUCAAAAAGCUGUAUAUCUAAAGCAAUUCAAGUACUCUGAAUAAACUGUAAAAAAACAAAACUGUAUGGAAACACCCAUGUUGAGUUGAUGUAUACUCUGUUGUACAGGGAUAGAGGCUUAAA
rnacentral:lncRNA from 1 species